rnacentral:rRNA from 1 species
CGCACGGGUGAGUAACACGUGAAUGAUCUACCUCCGAGUGGGGAAUAACCUAGGGAAACCUGGGCUAAUACCGCAUAACACUUACGAGUCAAAGCAGCAAUGCGCUUGGAGAGGAGUUCGCGGCAGAUUAGCUAGUUGGUGGGGUAAUGGCCCACCAAGGCGAUGAUCUGUAUCCGGCCUGAGAGGGCGCACGGACACACUGGAACUGAAACACGGUCCAG